GUGGGAUCCAGCGUUGUCCCUUCAGGAACAGAAGGUCUUGUGUAGUGAGGGUCUCAGCCUCUCCAUAACCAAUGUCAAAGUCGGAUCUGCCCUUGUGGAUCUGGUGAUGACUGCAAGAGGUCCUUCAGCUACAACACAGGAAACUUUGAAAAAUAGAGCUUGGUCAUCUAUAAACCUGUAAUUAUAGCACACACCUGGGGCCACAGACAGAGGAGAUCAUAGAGACAGAGCGAGCCUGUGGUCUCCCCACCAGGAGUGUGGACAGAGGCUCCGCCUACAGAGAAGGAGCUGGGGUGAGACACAGAGAGAGACCAGGCUUCAGGGACCCUAGUGGAGUCCAUGGGGUCAACAUCCCUGAUGUCCUUGUCCAUGUGCUCCCUGCCCUGGGGAUCAUGCUGACCCUGAGCCUCACUCUGAUCCUGGAGAAGCAGUGGAGCAGUGGGGACAGUUGAAGACAGUCCCCAGGGAGGAGGCACAGCAGACAUUCCCACAGUCACAGGAGUGAUUAUAGCUGGAUGACUGUUCCCUCCAUGUGGGAAUCUCUCAGCCACAGACAGUGUAUCCAUGUUCCUUGCAUCAGACCCCACAUGCUGCUUCAUACAGUCUUUCAUGUCACAGGCACUAAAGCCAGAUUCAUCUGCACCCUGCGUAACAUGAAAAGAGAGGUAG